rnacentral:rRNA from 1 species
GACGAACGCUGGCGGCAUGCUUAACACAUGCCAGUCGAACGAGACCUUCCUGCCUUUUUGCGCACGUCUACGUACCGCCGGGGAACCAGCCCUUGGGUUCCCUAUCCCUCCCUUAAGGGUAUCUUAAUGCCAGUUAGUGUCAUCCCACCAAAGAUGUCUCGCCAUUGGAUGGGCGCGCGUUGGAUUCGCCAGUUGGUAGUGUACAAGCCUACCAAGGGGACGUUCCAUAGCUGGUAGGAGAGGAGGAUCAGCCAGGCUGGCACUGCGACACGGCCCAGACUCCGACGGGAGGCAGCAGAGGGGAAUAUUAGACGAGGGGCGAGAGCCUGAUCCAGCAAUGCCGCGUGAGUGAUGAAGGCCGUAGGGUUGUAAAGCUCUUUUACCCGGGAUGAUAAUGACAGUACCGGGAGAAGAAGCACCGGCUAACUCCGUG